AUUGAACGCUGGCGGCAUGCCUUACACAUGCAAGUCGAACGGUAACAGGUCUUCGGAUGCUGACGAGUGGCGAACGGGUGAGUAAUACAUCGGAACGUGCCCGAUCGUGGGGGAUAACGCAGCGAAAGCUGUGCUAAUACCGCAUACGAUCUACGGAUGAAAGCGGGGGAUCGCAAGACCUCGCGCGGACGGAGCGGCCGAUGGCAGAUUAGGUAGUUGGUGGGAUAAAAGCUUACCAAGCCGACGAUCUGUAGCUGGUCUGAGAGGACGACCAGCCACACUGGGACUGAGACACGGCCCAGACUCCUACGGGAGGCAGCAGUGGGGAAUUUUGGACAAUGGGCGCAAGCCUGAUCCAGCCAUGCCGCGUGCAGGAUGAAGGCCUUCGGGUUGUUAACGUAGUCGUUUUGUUACGGUAACGAAAAGAACUACUUUCCUUAAUAAAGUAAGGUACCGAUGACGGUACCGGUAACGUAAUAAGACACCGGCCGUAACCUACGUACGCCGACGCACGCCGUACC
rnacentral:rRNA from 1 species